rnacentral:rRNA from 1 species
GAUGAACGCUGGCGGCGUGCCUAAUACAUGCAAGUCGAGCGAACGGACGAGAAGCUUGCUUCUCUGAUGUUAGCGGCGGACGGGUGAGUAACACGUGGAUAACCUACCUAUAAGACUGGGAUAACUUCGGGAAACCGGAGCUAAUACCGGAUAAUAUUUUGAACCGCAUGGUUCAAAAGUGAAAGACGGUCUUGCUGUCACUUAUAGAUGGAUCCGCGCUGCAUUAGCUAGUUGGUAAGGUAACGGCUUACCAAGGCAACGAUGCAUAGCCGACCUGAGAGGGUGAUCGGCCACACUGGAACUGAGACACGGCCCAGACUCCUACGGGAGGCAGCAGUAGGGAAUCUUCCGCAAUGGGCGAAAGCCUGACGGAGCAACGCCGCGUGAGUGAUGAAGGUCUUCGGAUCGUAAAACUCUGUUAUUAGGGAAGAACAUAUGUGUAAGUAACUGUGCACAUCUUGACGGUACCUAAUCAGAAAGCCACGGCUAACUACGUGCCAGCAGCCGCGGUAAUACGUAGGUGGCAAGCGUUAUCCGGAAUUAUUGGGCGUAAAGCGCGCGUAGGCGGUUUUUUAAGUCUGAUGUGAAAGCCCACGGCUCAACCGUGGAGGGUCAUUGGAAACUGGAAAACUUGAGUGCAGAAGAGGAAAGUGGAAUUCCAUGUGUAGCGGUGAAAUGCGCAGAGAUAUGGAGGAACACCAGUGGCGAAGGCGACUUUCUGGUCUGUAACUGACGCUGAUGUGCGAAAGCGUGGGGAUCAAACAGGAUUAGAUACCCUGGUAGUCCACGCCGUAAACGAUGAGUGCUAAGUGUUAGGGGGUUUCCGCCCCUUAGUGCUGCAGCUAACGCAUUAAGCACUCCGCCUGGGGAGUACGACCGCAAGGUUGAAACUCAAAGGAAUUGACGGGGACCCGCACAAGCGGUGGAGCAUGUGGUUUAAUUCGAAGCAACGCGAAGAACCUUACCAAAUCUUGACAUCCUUUGACAACUCUAGAGAUAGAGCCUUCCCCUUCGGGGGACAAAGUGACAGGUGGUGCAUGGUUGUCGUCAGCUCGUGUCGUGAGAUGUUGGGUUAAGUCCCGCAACGAGCGCAACCCUUAAGCUUAGUUGCCAUCAUUAAGUUGGGCACUCUAAGUUGACUGCCGGUGACAAACCGGAGGAAGGUGGGGAUGACGUCAAAUCAUCAUGCCCCUUAUGAUUUGGGCUACACACGUGCUACAAUGGACAAUACAAGGGGCAGCGAAACCGCGAGGUCAAGCAAAUCCCAUAAAGUUGUUCUCAGUUCGGAUUGUAGUCUGCAACUCGACUACAUGAAACUGGAAUCGCUAGUAAUCGUAGAUCAGCAUGCUACGGUGAAUACGUUCCCGGGUCU